rnacentral:rRNA from 1 species
GACAGAGGGUGCAAACGUUGUUCGGAAUUACUGGGCGUAAAGCGCGUGUAGGUGGUGGGGCAAGUCGGAUGUGAAAGCCCAGGGCUCAACCCUGGAAGUGCAUUCGAUACUGCUUCACUGGAGUCCCGGAGAGGAUGGUGGAACUCUCGGUGUAGAGGUGAAAUUCGUAGAUAUCGAGAAGAACACCUUCGGCGAAAGCUACCAUCUGGACUAUUACUGACACUGAGACGCUAAAUCUUGGGGAGCAAACAUG